UACGUAGGGUGCAAGCGUUUGUCCGGAAUUAUUGGGCGUAAAGAGCUCGUAGGCGGUUUGUCGCGUCUGCUGUGAAAACCCGAGGCUCAACCUCGGGCCUGCAGUGGGUACGGGCAGACUAGAGUGCGGUAGGGGAGAUUGGAAUUCCUGGUGUAGCGGUGGAAUGCGCAGAUAUCAGGAGGAACACCGGCGGCGAAGGCGGCUCACUGGCCAUAUACUGACGCUGAAACACGAAAGCGUGGGUAGCAAACAGG
rnacentral:rRNA from 1 species